UAGGGAAUCUUCGGCAAUGGGGGGAACCCUGACCGAGCAACGCCGCGUGAGUGAAGAAGGUUUUCGGAUCGUAAAGCUCUGUUGUUAAGGAAGAACGAGUGUGAGAAUGGAAAGUUCAUGCUGUGACGGUACUUAACCAGAAAGGGACGGCUAACUACGUGCCAGCAGCCGCGGUAAUACGUAGGUCCCGAGCGUUGUCCGGAUUUAUUGGGCGUAAAGCGAGCGCAGGCGGUUAGAUAAGUCUGAAGUUAAAGGCAGUGGCUCAACCAUUGUAGGCUUUGGAAACUGUUUAACUUGAGUGCAGAAGGGGAGAGUGGAAUUCCAUGUGUAGCGGUGAAAUGCGCAGAUAUUAGGAGGAAUACCGGUGGCGAAGGCGACUUUCUGGCCAUAAUCUGACGCUGAGGUACGAAAGCGUGGGUAGCAAACAGG
rnacentral:rRNA from 1 species